AACGAACGCUGGCGGCAUGCCUAACACAUGCAAGUCGAACGAGACCUUCGGGUCUAGUGGCGCACGGGUGCGUAACGCGUGGGAACCUGCCCUUAGGUUCGGAAUAACUCCCCGAAAGGGGUGCUAAUACCGGAUAAUGUCUCCGGACCAAAGAUUUAUCGCCUUUGGAUGGGCCCGCGUUGGAUUAGCUAGUUGGUAGGGUAAAAGCCUACCAAGGCGACGAUCCAUAGCUGGUCUGAGAGGAUGAUCAGCCACACUGGGACUGAGACACGGCCCAGACUCCUACGGGAGGCAGCAGUGGGGAAUAUUGGACAAUGGGCGAAAGCCUGAUCCAGCAAUGCCGCGUGAGUGAUGAAGGCCUUAGGGUUGUAAAGCUCUUUUACCCGGGAUGAUAAUGACAGUACCAGGAGAAUAAGCUCCGGCUAACUCCGUG
rnacentral:rRNA from 1 species